GAUGAACGCUGGCGGCGUGCCUAAUACAUGCAAGUCGAGCGAACAGACGAGGAGCUUGCUCCUCUGACGUUAGCGGCGGACGGGUGAGUAACACGUGGAUAACCUACCUAUAAGACUGGGAUAACUUCGGGAAACCGGAGCUAAUACCGGAUAAUAUAUUGAACCGCAUGGUUCAAUAGUGAAAGACGGUUUUGCUGUCACUUAUAGAUGGAUCCGCGCCGCAUUAGCUAGUUGGUAAGGUAACGGCUUACCAAGGCAACGAUGCGUAGCCGACCUGAGAGGGUGAUCGGCCACACUGUAACUGAGACACGGUCCAGACUCCUACGGGAGGCAGCAGUAGAGAAUCUUCCGCAAUGGGCGAAAGCCUGACGGUGCAACGCCGCGUGAGUGAUGAAGGACUUCGGAUCGUAAAGCUCUGUUAUUAGGGAAGAACAAAUGUGUAAGUAACUAUGCACGUCUUGACGGUACCUAAUCAGAAAGCCACGGCUAACUACGUG
rnacentral:rRNA from 1 species